CAGCCUAACACAUGCAAGUCGAACGGCAGCACAGAGGAGCUUGCUCCUUGGGUGGCGAGUGGCGGACGGGUGAGGAAUACAUCGGAAUCUACUUUUUCGUGGGGGAUAACGUAGGGAAACUUACGCUAAUACCGCAUACGACCUACGGGUGAAAGCAGGGGAUCUUCGGACCUUGCGCGAUUGAAUGAGCCGAUGUCGGAUUAGCUAGUUGGCGGGGUAAAGGCGCACCAAGGCGACGAUCCGUAACUGGUCUGAGAGGAUGAUCAGUCACACUGGAACUGAGACACGGUCCAGACUCCUACGGGAGGCAGCAGUGGGGAAUAUUGGACAAUGGGCGCAAGCCUGAUCCAGCCAUACCGCGUGGGUGAAGAAGUGCCUUCGGGUUGUAAAGCCCUUUUGUUGGGAAAGAAAUCCAGCCGGCUAAUACCUGGUUGGGAUGACGGUACCCAAAGAAUAAGCACCGGCUAACUUCGUGCCAGCAGCCGCGGUAAUACGAAGGGUGCAAGCGUUACUCGGAAUUUACUGGGCGUAAAGCGUAGCGU
rnacentral:rRNA from 1 species